UACGGGGGGGGUAAGCGUUGUUCGGAAUUACUGGGCGUAAAGGGCUCGUAGGCGGCCAACUAAGUCAUACGUGAAAUCCCUCAGCUUAACUGGGGAACUGCGUGUGAUACUGGAUGGCUUGGAUUUGGGAGAGGGAUGCGGAAUUCCAGGUGUAGCGGUGAAAUGCGUAGAUAUCAGGAGGAACACCGGUGGCGAAGGCGGUAGUCUGGGCCGGUACUGACGCUGAGGAGCGAAAGCGUGGGGAGCGAACAGG
rnacentral:rRNA from 1 species